UGCGGGUCUCCCUUCUCUCCU
rnacentral:miRNA from 1 species